GACGAACGCUGGCGGCGUGCUUAACACAUGCAAGUCGAGCGGUAAGGCCCUGCGUGUUACCCGAGCGCCAAACGGGAACGUGACAGGUACAUGUGCGUCACUUCCCCUCGGGAUUAGCCUGAGAUCCUGGGACUAGUGCCAAUAACGGCUUCCUGUCGCUGCUGCGGUGGGGGGAAGAUUUAGCGGUGGAGGAUGGGCACGCGGCUUAUCAGCUUGUUGGUGGGGUAGUGGCUUACCAAGGCGAAGACGGGUAGCCGGCCUGAGAGGGUGACCGGCCACACUGGGACUGAGAUACGGCCCAGACUCCUACGGGAGGCAGCAGUGGGGAAUAUUGCACAAUGGGCGGAAGCCUGAUGCAGCGACGCCGCGUGCGGGAUGACGGCCUUCGGGUUGUAAACCUCUUUCGGCAGUGACGAAGCGUGAGUGACGGUAACUGCAAAAGAAGCACCGGCUAACUACGUG
rnacentral:rRNA from 1 species